CCUGAAAGCCUGGCAGGCCACCCUACUUCAGCUGCAUUCGGUCCAUACACUGAGGGUCUCAGUGGGGAAAAAGCAGAGUCAUUUUAAAGAAACAUGGAUCUUAGUUUCUAGAAGGUUUUUCCCCAUCUGGCAGACAAAUUUAUGCCUAUUCCACACACAGUUCUGGAGGCUGGGAAGUUCAAGAUCAAGAUGCAGGCAGAUUCAUCUCCUGGCCCUCGUGUGUGUUCUCCUCCCUGUAUCCCAGCGGAUUAAGAUGCUCAUUUCUUAAAAUUCAGGGGAAAGAUGGACACUACCGGUUCCGUGGCCCAGGGUUUUGGAAGAGGCGGCCUCCGGAUGACUGGAUGCACUUCUCCCUGGGACUCACCCUGUGUCGUUACAGCUCGAGCUUACUGAAAAUAACAGACAGACACCUCCACUUGUCCCCUCCAACAGAGUGGCUGCACUGGCAGCUCUCUAAUGAGUUCUAACCCCAUAGGGGCAGUUAUGAAACUGAUGCAAAAAGGAUACAAUCAAGAUAGAAGUCAAUAAGGAGCACAGAAGGCAUGAGUAAGACUUGCAUCAGAGAGGCCAAAACCCAAAAUGCGCUGGGGGUUGUGGGAGCGGCUGAAGAGCCUGGAGAAGCCGCUUAUAGUCAUUUUAAGUCAGAUUAAAGGAGUGUGUUUGGCUGACGAGAGGACCCCAUGCUUGCACGUAUGGAGCCUUAUCUCAGCUUCCAUACCUACAAAGGGGACAUGAUUGGUGUCUACCCCAGAGAGUGGUUUUAAGAAUUAAACAAAAUGACGUGUGUGAAA
rnacentral:lncRNA from 1 species